CGACGAGUUUGAUCAUGGCUCAGAACGAACGCUGGCGGCGUGGGUUUAGGCAUGCAAGUCGAGCGAGAAAGUCCUUCGGGAACGAGUACAGCGCGAAAGGGUGAGUAAUAUAUAGGUAACCUACCUCUUGGACUCGGAUAAUCCUGGAAACGGGUUGUAAUACGAGAUCGUCCUAUUGGGUCGCAUGGCCCGACUGGUAAAUGGUAGCUCUGCUUCUGCCGAGAGAGGGGCCUAUAUCCUAUUAGCUAGUUGGUGAGGUAAUGGCUCACCAAGGCUUUGAGUGGGUAGCCGGACUGAGAGGUUGGCCGGUCACACGUGGGACUGAGACACUCGCCCAGACUCCUACGGGAGGCUGCAGUCGAGAAUCUUCCGCAAGUGGGACGAAGCCUGGACGGGGCGACGCCGCGUGAACGAAGAAGGCCGUUCGGGUUAGUAAAGUUCUGUCAGUGGGGAAGAAUGCUUGUCGGUUAAUAGCCGGCAAGUUGACGUUACCUACAGAGGAAGCCCUGGCUAACUCCGUG
rnacentral:rRNA from 1 species